GUCUAUGGUCGUACCACCCUGAACGCGCCUGAGCUCAGCUGAUCUCGGAAGCUAAGCAGGGGCAGGCCUGGUUAGGACUUGGAUGUGAGAAGGGCAUGGGGAGACAGCACAGCAGAGG
rnacentral:rRNA from 1 species